UGCUGGCUCAUUUCAUAUGUGUGCUGAGAAAUACACACAUGUGAAGUGAGCCAGCAC
ensembl:miRNA